AUGUUAUUAUUUUUCCCCUAUGUGGAAACAGGGAGGGGUUUCCCAAUUUCUCAUUCAGUUAAAAUUAGAUAAAACUUAGUCGAUUUUCAACAUUUACAUAUUCCCUAAAAUUGAGGAGAUUCUAUUUGCUGGCAGCCUUGUUCUACAACCUACGCCCUCCUGUCAAUGUCAUUCAAGUGC